CACUUGAAGUUGCCGCGCUUUUCAGACCGCUCCUCGGUCUCUCUUCUCCUAAUUUUCAUUGAUCUUUCGAAAGUUACCCACCAGCAGCGACACAAUGCUUCAACAUCUUCAGUACGUGUUACUCGGGAGAGUCGCAACCCGGAAAGGUUCAAAAGCUCCGACGGUACCCUAGUCCGAGAUAGGACGAGAGUGCCCUAUCCCCUCUCACGGAGGGUGAAUUCGUGGCAUCAACCCCUAGUAGUAUUCGGAUUCACGCAACGCUGGGUCGA